rnacentral:rRNA from 1 species
CAGCCGCCGCGGUAAGACAGAGGAUGCAAGCGUUAUCCGGAAUUAUUGGGCGUAAAGAGCUCGUAGGCGGUCUGUCGCGUCUGGUGUGAAAUCCCGAGGCUCAACCUCGGGCUUGCAUCGGGUACGGGCAGACUAGAGUGCGGUAGGGGAGACUGGAAUUCCUGGUGUAGCGGUGGAAUGCGCAGAUAUCAGGAGGAACACCGAUGGCGAAGGCAGGUCUCUGGGCCGCAACUGACGCUGAGGAGCGAAAGCAUGGGGAGCGAACAGGAUUAGAUACCCGGGUAGUCCCUGUCUCUUAUAC